UACGAAGGGUGCAAGCGUUAUCCGGAUUCACUGGGUUUAAAGGGUGCGUAGGUGGGCAGGUAAGUCAGUGGUGAAAUCUCCGGGCUUAACCCGGAAACUGCCGUUGAUACUAUUUGUCUUGAAUAUUGUGGAGGUAAGCGGAAUAUGUCAUGUAGCGGUGAAAUGCUUAGAUAUGACAUAGAACACCAAUUGCGAAGGCAGCUUACUACACAACGAUUGACGCUGAGGCACGAAAGCGUGGGGAUCAAACAGG
rnacentral:rRNA from 1 species